CCUACGGGGGGCAGCAGUGGGGAAUAUUGGACAAUGGGGGCAACCCUGAUCCAGCCAUGCCGCGUGUGUGAAGAAGGCCCUCGGGUUGUAAAGCACUUUCAGUGAGGAAGAACGCCUGGUGGUUAAUACCCAUCAGGAAAGACAUCACUCACAGAAGAAGCACCGGCUAACUCCGUGCCAGCAGCCGCGGUAAUACGGAGGGUGCGAGCGUUAAUCGGAAUUACUGGGCGUAAAGCGCGCGUAGGUGGCUUGAUAAGCCGGUUGUGAAAGCCCCGGGCUCAACCUGGGAACGGCAUCCGGAACUGUCAAGCUAGAGUGCAGGAGAGGAAGGUAGAAUUCCCGGUGUAGCGGUGAUAUGCGUAGAGAUCGGGAGGAAUACCAGUGGCGAAGGCGGCCUUCUGGACUGACACUGACACUGAGGUGCGAAAGCGUGGGUAGCAAACAGGAUUAGAUACCCGGGUAGUC
rnacentral:rRNA from 1 species